CCCGCCUCUUUUGCCUUCUUUCGAGACUAUUAGCAAGUCUUCACACCAAGUGUUAUCGGCACCAUCCGGCUAUACUGGUGCUGAAAGGGACAGCAACAUGUGGCAGCGAACGCGAGUCUGCCCCAGCACUGCAGAGGCUCCUAUUCAUUAUCAUGAAAGUAACUGAUAUAUCACAGUGCAGACUUGGCGAUAGGUCUGGCACUUACCCGGAGGAAGAUGUCAGUGUUUCACUUCGGAGCUUUUAGCGCCUCACACCAUUUCUCAGAAAGGUCCGUACAGAAAUCCAGGGGCCGGAUUCGGCCUGAGUGGUUGCAGCUUCUCGCUGCGCUCCGGCGCUGCGUCAGUCGGAGAUUCCACAGAUGAUUAAACUGGGCAGUGAUUGACUUCAAUCAAAACUGACUUAAGACUUGGGCCGUUUCUGCUUGAAACGUGUCGAACCUGGCCGAGAGAUGUAAACUCCUGCGUCCGCGGUGCGUUUUUGCCUAUCUUGAUAUUAAGAAGGAUGUAUCUAACAUCGUGAUCAAGCCCUUAAUUUUUUUGCAGUGGAAAACUGGGAAUGGAACAGAAGGCGAGAUUGAAAGGAUGAUGUCCAGUACGUUGAUGAAAAAAAAGGUGAGGCUAAAUCAAGUGAUCAGCUUGUUCAUAUCACUCCAUAAAUGGUUGUAAGGAAACAAACAACACGUAAUGUCAUCCCAAUCAUAUCACAGACCCGCCUGUGAGAUUACAUUUCUUCCCAAUUCGAGUAACCCCUCUGCCCGCAAUAAACUGGCCUGCACCGCGGCACACUCGGCUCCAAGGAUCACUCGGUUUAGACCAAGUGGUGGAUAAGGUACUGAAUCAUGCCAGGGAUCCAGUUCCAUGAGAUAUGUCACCGCCACCCUUAUUGUGACCAAACUAAUCUUCGUCAGUAUUCAUCGAACCAAAUUAAAACAUGGCUGUUUUCCCUCUGCUAAUAAAAACAAUCA